rnacentral:rRNA from 1 species
ACGUAGGGUGCGAGCGUUGUCCGGAAUUAUUGGGCGUAAAGAGCUCGUAGGCGGUCUGUCGCGUCUGCUGUGAAAACCCAGGGCUUAACCCUGGGCCUGCAGUGGGUACGGGCAGACUGGAGGUAUGCAGGGGAGAACGGAAUUCCUGGUGUAGCGGUGAAAUGCGCAGAUAUCAGGAGGAACACCGGUGGCGAAGGCGGUUCUCUGGGCAUGACCUGACGCUGAGGAGCGAAAGUGUGGGGAGCGAACAGGA